UUUUUAAUUGGAGGAAGGUGGGGAUGACGUCAAAUCAUCAUGCCCCUUAUGACCUGGGCUACACACGUGCUACAAUGGUUGGUACAACGAGUUGCGAGUCGGUGACGGCGAGCUAAUCUCUUAAAGCCAAUCUCAGUUCGGAUUGUAGGCUGCAACUCGCCUACAUGAAGUCGGAAUCGCUAGUAAUCGCGGAUCAGCACGCCGCGGUGAAUACGUUCCCGGGCCUUGUACACACCGCCCGUCACACCACGAGAGUUUGUAACACCCGAAGUCGGUGAGGUAACCUUUUGGAGCCAGCCGCCUAAGGUGGGACAGAUGAUUGGUGGAUAUGAGGUGAGGUCCGGGGGGACC
rnacentral:rRNA from 1 species